GCUGGCGGCGUGCCUAAUACAUGCAAGUCGAGCGAACAGAUAAGGAGCUUGCUCCUUUGACGUUAGCGGCGGACGGGUGAGUAACACGUGGGUAACCUACCUAUAAGACUGGAAUAACUCCGGGAAACCGGGGCUAAUGCCGGAUAACAUUUAGAACCGCAUGGUUCUAAAGUGAAAGAUGGUUUUGCUAUCACUUAUAGAUGGACCCGCGCCGUAUUAGCUAGUUGGUAAGGUAANGGCUUACCAAGGCAACGAUACGUAGCCGACCUGAGAGGGUGAUCGGCCACACUGGAACUGAGACACGGUCCAGACUCCUACGGGAGGCAGCAGUAGGGAAUCUUCCGCAAUGGGCGAAAGCCUGACGGAGCAACGCCGCGUGAGUGAUGAAGGGUUUCGGCUCGUAAAACUCUGUUAUUAGGGAAGAACAAACGUGUAAGUAA
rnacentral:rRNA from 1 species